rnacentral:rRNA from 1 species
ACCGACCUUCGGGAGCCUAUACAGGUGUUGCAUGGCUGUCGUCAGCUCGUGUCGUGAGAUGUCGUUAAGUCCGCUAACGAGCGCUAACCCUCGUCGUAUGCUAUAUGUGUCAUACGAGACUGCCGGUAAAAGCCGGAGGAAGGUGAGGAUGAUGUCAAGUCAGCAUGACCUUUAUAUCCAGGGCUACACACACGCUACAAUGGUCUGUACAAUGGGUAGCCAAGCCGCGAGGCGGAGCCAAUCCUGAAAGCCAGGCCUCAGUUCAGAUUGCAGUCUGCAACUCGACUGCAUGAAGCCGGAGUUGCUAGUAACCGCAGGUCAGCAAUACUGCGGUGAAUACGUUCCCGGGUCUU